UGGUUGGAAGAAACGAUAGAGGUUCCCAACCCUCUCACACUCGGACUACAGAUGGACCUUCAGAUCGUCGCAUCACGCACACCAUGCCCAGGAACCGCACCCUUUCGGUAAGAUGCCUGCCACAUGUCCCUUCCGAAACCACAUCUUUCCAAGUAUAAUGAUUGCUUUUGCAGAUUUACUAAUCAGUAUUAUAUCCAACCCUAAUGAGGAGCAUUGCAAAUACUAAGAGCUAUUUAGACACUGGAUCACAUAAUUCGAUUAUUAGAUCUUGUCACAUAAAAAAGAAUGUAAUACAAAAGGAAGCCAAUGAAGUUAAUUGAGAAACGGAGAGGUGGUCAUUUCCAUCAUCCCUGUUCCAAAUAUUGAAGAAAUAACUAAAAAUUUUUUAUUAAAGAUAUCGAAACUAGAAAGAUCUUCAACAAAUGGGAAUCCUUUUAAUUUCUCCCCCGAGGAGGGAUCUAAGGGUGGUGAUUGGAUCCGAUGGCGAGCCGGACAGUCAGGGCGGAGCCCAGGUGUACGAAGAUGAUGAGGAAUUCGGGGCGGAGGAAGACGAGGAGGAAUUUGAGGCGGCGGAAGAACUCGAAGAGGAAGGAGUGGAACUCGAAGAGACGACCGGGGAAGGGGGAGGGCAUCAUGGUUCUGUAGGGAAGGAAGGCUGAAAUCCCUGCCGAGGGGCGCCCCCCAGCGGAGCCCGCUGGAGAUGGCCGGCGAUCUGGCGGGGAACCAAUGGAAAUAUCGAGGCAAGAAUCAAGAAUCUGGUGGGCAAUGCACAGACUGCAAUUGCCAAUAAGACACUCUCAUCUUCGACGCAGAUGGAGGAUAAUUUUUUCAGCUUCACAAUUUGGUUCAUUGUUGAGAGGAAAAUGGUUGUUGAUUCAGUUGCUCGCGAUAUGUUGAUGAUUCUCUCCAACCAACCAGUUGCUGGCAGAACCAUGGGUAGUUCUCCAUUCAGUCUUCCACAUUUUCUUUAUCGAUUACCGCCAUUAAUGCCUCUUAUCAUGCCCAUUUUAUGUGCCUAAUGCAAGUGCUCUUUAAUGAACAAUCCUAUGAUAACCAGAGAACAGGCUACAUCUUGCAUGGUAACAUCACUAGAUUUUGCUACCAUUGUGAAAUUGCUGCCAACUUGUCGGGGGUUGUUGUUAUCUAGGGAAACAAACUAACAAUCAACAGCCUGUAAUUUAGGGGAGACUUGUCAGUGAUGGAAGACAUCUGAUGUCAAAAUAAGUGCAAUUCAUGCAGGCAACACCACCAUGAUGUUACCUAGGUUGCAUAGCAUCAUGAUGCUACCAUCUGAGUUGCAUCUAAAUCUCACCCUCAUUAGAUGCUACUUAGUGGAAGCUACCCCUUCGCAUUGAACUCAUUUUGAAGUUAGAAGGCUCCGGUAAUUGAGAUGUGCCUCCUAACAUAUAAGAUGCCAAUUAUUAAUCCAUUUCUUGAUUUGGGCAUGGUUUUGGUCUGCUGUGAUGAGGACACUGAGUUCCUGCUGGUGGCUCAUCUGCAAUAGACUGCAGCCUUUGAGAAUUAUCUUUGACAUCAUGUGUUCAGUGAUGCAGUGAGAAGUUAUCAUGGAACAAAAUGUGAAUCUCAAAGUCUGCUGUUUGCAGGUGGGCCCCAGCAGACAUUUAAUUUCCUCUUCGCGGUGCACAUGAACUGCACCCACCUAAAUGUUGGUGAAAACAUGCUGCCAAUCAUAAGAAAUGCAUGCUAAGUUGGCAGUAGUUUCAUGGAGUGGCACUUCAUGAUGCUACCCAUGCAGCAGAAGUGAAAUAUUACUGUGAAUAGAUGUUUCAACUUGUCCUAGUAACACCUGGUUGUACGACUUGCCUUGGCUCGAGCUUCUUUCUGAAGGAGCGUUAUGAAGGUUUGUCAUCAUAGCCUUGCUCUUUUUACAUCACUUGAAAUUGGCAUUAAUGGGACCAUUUGUUUCAAAAUAUUCUGCUUAACCUAUACUGCAUAUUUAUAUUUUCAAAAUAAUAUCAUGUUUCCAACUAUUUAUAUUUUUUAAUUGAUUUAUGAUUUUUAUUGAGGGGGCAUCAAGUUAAUAAGUUCUAUAUAUGAGCAAAUUAUUCUGAAUAAAUGGCAUGCACUACUGUGUGGAAAUUGAUAGAUAACACCAGAAAUGCAGCUAUGUAGAAGUGACUUAAGAUGCGUAAUACUCUCUUGAUAUGUUUAGGAACACUAUAUCCUAAUGAUAUCUACUUUAUUUAAAAGUUUUUCUAUUUCAUACUGUGAUAUUUUUGGUAAAUAGCCCAACAUACAAAUUCAUGGCAAAUUUUGAGAAGUGUUAUGGAGGUCUUGUAAGUGCAUGUGCAUGCCUGGAGCAGAUGCAUAAUAUGCAUGCUCCUUUUAUCUUAAAGUGCAUGUGGAUGGAUAUUUAUUAAUGAAUCUCCCCUAAACUCCUAUCCUCAAGUCACUCAUCCUUGGUUUAGAUAGAAAUGUAGAGCAACUAUCUUUAUGGAAAGUUUUGACGAUAUGAUGUAUUUGUCGAUUUUGCUAUAUUCAUUUAUCUCUUCACCCCGGUAGAAGAUCCCGCCAAACUUCUUGAAGCAUAUCUCUAUGGAGCCAUCUAGAAGAGUGACCCUUCAGGGUCCUAGUGGAAGCAAAUGAUAUGUCCAACUAGGCAAAAUUGUUAAAGGCACAUUCCUGACUGCUGGAUGGCCAGAGUUUGUCAAAGACCACUCCUUGAAGGAGCAUGAGUUCCUGGGCUUCCAAUACAAUAGAAACAUGCAGUUCACUGUUCUCAUUUUUGAUACAACUGCAUGUGAGAGAGAAGAUAUGCUCCCAGUAAGACCUCAUAGAACUUCCGAACCCAGCAAUCGGAGACAAGAAAGGGUUAGACCACCAAGAUUUCUUUGGAUGCUGGCUACUAUGUUAAGAAUGAAGCAAGUGAAAGUGAGCUGACAGACCUUCCAAAUGACAGUCAGGCAACCAAUCAGUUACACAUUCACUAUUGUAAUACAACCAAAGGAAGAUGUGUGUCACCUCCUAUACCUUGUGGUGAUGUCAAAAUUAAAACAGAAGAUAAUGCAGUCCCAAUUUGUAUAAUUGGUUCAUCCACCAGAUAAUAUGAAGGCUAUGUCUUGAGAAGAUGACCUGUGACAACAGAAGAAGAGCAAUAGUACGGGAAGCUGCCAACUCUUUCACCUCUAUAUUUCUUUGUACGAUUAUGCGCAUGACAGCAAUGAAUGUUUCCAGGACAUAUAUGCUGUGGUUCCCUGUUUGGUUUUCGCAUGCACAUCUUCCUCGCAGAAGAGCUAAUGUGGUCCUCCGAGACCCAAAUGGCAAGGCUUGGGUGGUUGUCUACAUUCCAAGCUCAAGGGACCAUUUAUCUGGAGGUUGGUCUGCCUUCGCACGUGGCAACAACCUGGAGGAAGGAGAUUAUUGUGUUUUCGAGGUUGCGGGUCCAGUUGAAAUGCGUUUCCACAUUUUCAGGUGGUUGCGGAGAUCACUACUCUGUUUAGGAUGCAAAGGAUGCAGGAGAUGUGUUAUCUUUGUGGAGCUAUCGAAGAAAUAUAACAGAGCCAAUGUA